rnacentral:rRNA from 1 species
GAUAAACGCUGGCGGCGUGCCUAACACAUGCAAGUCGAACGCCCUUUUGCGCAAGUGAGAGGGAGUGGCGGACGGGUGAGUACCACGUGGGUACCUACCUUGAGGUGAGGAAUACCACCGAGAAAUCGGUGACAAGACCGCAUACGCUUGGCAACAAGCAAAGUCUCGCAAGAGACGCCACAAGAUGGGCCUGCGCCUGAUUAGCUAGUUGGUGAGGUAAUGGCUCACCAAGGCGACGAUCAGUAGCUGGUCUGAGAGGAUGAUCAGCCACACUGGGAUUGAGAACGGCCCAGACUCCUACGGGGGC